rnacentral:rRNA from 2 species
AGAUGCGAUCAUACCAGCACUAAUGCACCGGAUCCCAUCAGAACUCCGCAGUUAAGCGUGCUUGGGCGACUUGUCUUUAUUUUUGCUAAUGAUUUAUUUGUGGAAGAGCUGUGUUACCAACUC